GAAGCUGACCAGACAGUCGCCGCUUCGUCGUCGUCCUUUCGGGGAGACGGGCGGAGGGGAGGAAAGUCCGGGCUCCAUAGGGCAGGGUGCCAGGUAACGCCUGGGGGGGAAACCCACGACCAGUGCAACAGAGCAAACCGCCGAUGGCCCACGUAAGUGGGAUCAGGUAAGGGUGAAAGGGUGCGGUAAGAGCGCACCGCGCGGCUGGUAACAGUCCGUGGCACGGUAAACUCCACCCGGAGCAAGGCCAAAUAGGGGUUCAUAAGGUACGGCCCGUACUGAACCCGGGUAGGCUGCUUGAGCCAGUGAGCGAUUGCUGGCCUAGAUGAAUGACUGUCCACGACAGAACCCGGCUUAUCGGUCAGUUUCACUU
rnacentral:RNase_P_RNA from 1 species